UGCACUCCCUGGCUAACCAAGGACCUAACUUUAGCUAAUAAAAUUGAUGUUUCAAAUAGAUUACAACAAUGUUUUGGAGCAGUAUUCCUUAAGGGAUUUUACUAAUAUAAUUCAACUUUUAAAUCCUUUGAAAUAUUACCACGUUUCAGGUGACUAAGUCCAUUUUCUCCCGGCAGGCUGAGUAUUCUGACACUGUGCCUUAUAUAUGUUUUCAUAUAGAUAUUCAGGGAAGAAAAGGGUAUCUAGACAGUAUUUGACACUCUUUGAUUCGACAAGAGGAUGGCUAUUUAGACAUUUGGAGAGGGCACGGUAUUGUUACAAUGCUAACACAUAUGACCGUGAUGCUUUCUCAAUGGAAGGAUUUCAUGGUUCGCUGGUGGAAAUCAUGCUCUGGGGAACUGAAAAGCUGCAUGCGCAGGAUGUUAUUCGUGCAGGAAGAAUUAUGGUGUUUAACGUGCAUCACAGGUAUAUCGGGGUCUUGACAUUGGAUUAACAAAGCCUUCACCAGUUAUAUAAAGGACUGGAUUUGAAGGAAACAAGGAUCUGCCUGUUGUGCUAAAGACCAUGAUUGCAGACAGAUACUAUAUAGCUGAAUAUCUGGGUUCGGCUGCAUUCAAUAAGAUUGUAUAGGCUCAUGAUCUUCACACAGGAGUGCAUGUUUGCCUAAAGAUC